GAAAGUAGGUGGGGUAAGUAGUCCACGCUAGGUAUCCAUAGGAGAUGUGGCGAAUCCACAUGAAUAUGGAAGCACCCAUAGGAGAUGUGGCCAAUCCACAUGAAUAUGGGGUAGAAGCCUAGUGGGGGGCUACCCACUGAGGAAAAGAGGAAAAGAUGAAAAGAUGAAAAGAUGAAAAGGAUAUGCAUUGUAGGGUUCUAGCUCAUGGUCGGGUACAGGAAGUUAAAGAAGUCAUAGGAUCGAGUCGGACUAGUAAGAUGAGUCGGUUAAGUCUAGGGAUGGCGUGUGUGGCAAUGAGUGAGAUCAUUGUAUUGAUUGAUUACUAGGUUGUUAGAAAUGAAUGGAAGUGUGUGUAGAUAUUACAGAUGGUGAUAGGAAAUGAUAAAAUGCAUUAAGUGAUUGUAGUGGCUAGUCAGUCCUAGUUCCCGCAUAGAGUAGUAUAGAGUGUCGUGCGGGCAGGCUGGUCUAGAGCCACUUCACUGAGUAACUUGUUGCUCACCCCCUCCAUUUCCAUUUUUUCCCUGUGCGCAGGACUGUAAGUAGAAGUAUAUGGAUGUGGGUGUGACGGUAUUUCAAAGAAGGUUAUGCGCUCGUCUCUCGGGACCAGUAACGGGACACGUAGGGUUGUCUAAAUGAGUAGACACGUGUCCAUAACGCCCCUUCGAUAACCCCGGUCGGACGCCGGGGGAUCGGGCUGUUACAAUUGGUAUCAGAGCGGGAUAAGAUCCCUUAGUUCUGUCCUAAGGGAUCAGCAUUUCCGACGUUUAAAAAAAAAACUUGUUUUCAUUAAAAAGAAAAGAGUUUGUGAAAGUUUUGAUUCUCCUAAAAGAUCUGAAAACGAUUUCAAAACCACCCACUAUAUUUAUACUUCUAGUAUGGUUCUGAUCGGAUGUCUACUUGAAAGAUGUCUUCGACAAUCAGUAACGACCAGAGAGACAUGUAUGUAAGAGAAUACAAUAAGGAUGUAAUCCCCCGAGGAGAUUUGUUGGGCACCCUCUAAGGGAGAAAGAACUGAUUCACCGCUUCCUGAAGGAAAUGAAAACGAUUUGAAGAAUAGUUGUGACGUGCAAGAUUACUGGGAUCAUGAGCUAAUCAAGAUUACGUGCAGAGUUAUAGUUUUGGUUGUAAGAAGAUCAUAGGCUAACCAAGCAUCACAUACUCAGAGCCAAGGGGAACUUGCGACAUCGCCAUUACCACAAGGCGGUUUCGUUGUGACAAGAACGGAAGUGCGAGAAGAACCACACUAGGAUAUAAUGGAUGGGAGCAUACUACUAGUACAACCAGUAGGACUAUGAUAGGAGGUUCGUUCAUCAAGGAAAACAUGGUCAGACCGAAGGACUCAAGGAUGAGGAUAUGUUCGGUGCGGAGUAGCUAAACACCAAGUCAGGACCUGCUGGGGUUGGAGUUUGGAAUGAUAUGAAGUGACAGAAUUUUGGGAUGCGUAUUUAGAGGUGUACCAGUGUUCGGGGAUGUUGCAGUAUGUUAGGGAUAGCAUCGGGGCUUAGCGAGAAUCUAUACGGAGGUCAAAGAUUAAUGAAUAGGAAGAGAGCUAGGAAAGCAGACCGUGACCAAGCACAUGGAGUUAAUGUAUUGUAUUGGCAUGUACUCAUAAUCCUCGAUAGGAGAGGAGAGUAGUCCGUAAUGGAAUAAAGAUUAGGAUAUGGAUAUAAGCUAUCUUGAUGUUGUAAGCUUAAGAGUUAAGUGUAAAGGAGAAUGAUUUGUAUUUGGAAGUGAAAACUCUAAGUAUUGGAUACCAUUGCUGCAGUCGCCGGGUAUGCAAACGCUUUUGAGCAUUUUUUUUAAGGACCCAUGGAACUGAAAUAGUGCAUACACCAUAGAGCGGAAAUACAGAACAUUGUCUAGUCAAAGGAACCAUAUUGGUUAGCACCAUAUAGUUCGUUGAGUUGUUGGAACCUACAGCAAGUAGCUUUGGAGUUCACUAAGAGCGAUUUGACAUUACGGUAUUGCCAGAUUCUGAUAUCAAAGAAAAACAUCCAGGAGACAACAUUAUGAGUUGGUAAUGGACAUUACCAAUUGUAGAAGUGUGUCUUUAGAUCAACUGAUGCGCAACAUGUUCAUGUGAAGUGGAUGUACGAUGCCGCAAGCGUAUUAAGAUAAGCACGCGAUAGUGAUGAUCGAAGACACAAUAUUCUAUUCCACCGAAGAGUGUGACGGUAUUUGGGAGUAGCUUGUUAAGUUUCAUGAGAUGAAGUGCUCGCUAAGUUAAUCAACGGAGAUGUGGUUGGGUACCACGCAACGGUGAAGGAAGAGACCAUGGGACAAGUUAUUGGUCGCAAUGGGCAUUAUAGUGGGCAGCAGACAUAUUUAUCAGAAUUCGAAGAGGAACUGCCAUGGGUAAAGAUAAAGAGGGUUUUAAUGGAGCUUUGCAGUCGAGAUUUGUUAGUUGAGAACAGUGGGGUGUAAGGCCGUAUAUGAUUGAUGCAAGAGUUGUAUGUGUCAAAUGGAAAUGGAACAUGAUAACAAUAUAUUUUUGUUGUUGGGUCGCCAAGGAUAUCGCAAUCAACCUAUGUGGUGUACAUGUGUGUUGAGCUUAGAGAGGAAGUAGGUUAAUGGAGCUGAUAUUAGUUGAAUCCAUGCAAGACAUUAGCUACGAGUCGAGCAAAUGGAUAUCCCCUAUGAGAAUUGUAUGAACAACCAUGUUGAAUCCCUUAUGUUGGACCAAAGUGGGGGAGAUCAGAAUCUCGAGCCUGAGAUGAUCUAGGAAACCGCUUAGCAGAUAUAAUUGUUGAUGAUGAGCUGCUUUAUGAAAGGAUAGAAGAGGUACAUGACCAUUAGAGAAUUACGUCGACAAGAGUGGUGGUGAUAUGGAAAUGCAUAUGAGAUGAAAGCAAUCUAGGGAUGAGAACGCGGUUGGAGAAUCGAUGGGGAUUUAAGAAGACGUUGGAUCUCUGUGAGGAAUAUGGAACCUGGCCUGUUGCAUGAACCAUUAGAUUUCAAAGGACGAGUUGUUACCCAUUUGGGUUUGGGAUGUUAAGUUGGAUUACCGACACACAGAAUUCGGGGACGAAUUCCAUUCAAGUGGGGGAGAAUUGUAACGGCCCGGUUCAUGGCCCACAAAUUAUCAUAAAAGAUUGGGCUUCUCUACGGCCCAUUUGACAAAAACCUAGGGUUCCCUUCACCCUUUCCUAUAAAAAGAGAUGCAGCCCCUUCUUUUCUCUCAUUUCUGAAACUUGAGCGAAGCUCUGCAGAGAUUUAGAGAGACUAGGAAACCCUAGCCGUCAAGCUUCUCUUUUCCUUUUCUCUCUUCUUCUCUCAUGCCUCUCUUUCUCUUUCUCUCUCCGUGAUCUCUCUUCUCUCUCCUUGCCGCGAGCCCCCCAAGAGCAAGCCGAGCCGCCAGUGGUGGUGGUGGUGGACGUCCAAGGGGUGGUGGGGUGAUCGUCCGAGUGUGGUGAUGGUGGUGGCUGUGUGGUGUUGUGGUGGUGACCAGAUCUCGUCUCUCUCUUGUUUACUUGUUCCAGAUCUGUUCAGAUCUCCUCCCUCUUGUCUCUUGUUCCCAGAUCCGGAUCCAGAUCUAGGCUAAGGUGGAGUGUUUCGAACCCAACCUUCUUUCAUGGUCCUGUAUACUCCUAUAUGUUGGGGUUAGGUUUGAUUAGACCCUGUUUGGGAGUUAGGUUGAUAGUACAUGGUAUUGCUAGGAUGAUAGAUGAAUGGAUCAUGAUGCAUAAGAACCCUCAUAUUGAUAAAUGGGACUUGAUGAACUGAAUUGAAUUGUUGUGGUAAUGGCUGAUUGGUAGUUGAUUCUUUUAUGUUUGGUUGUGUUGUCCCAUGUGUGGUUGUGAUUGAAGUUAGGAUGCUAGAGAGAAAUAAAUGCUAGGAUGAUAGAUGAGCAAUGAUUAUAAAAGUUAUUGAAGUAGAACUUGAAUGCAAUGUGUAUUGUGUGACACCGAUAACGGGUGGCGUCUAGUGAUUGAGUCCAAGUACAAGUAGGAAUGAAAAGGGAAGUAAUUGGGAAUGGGAAGGGUUAGGUGAAAACGAUAAGGAAGUGGAAGGAUAAGUAAAAGUAUGAAAGAAUGUUGUUAAGGUUAAGCAUGGGUGGGAAAGCAUAUAGAGAGUCUAAGGAAAGUAGGUGGGGUAAGUAGUCCACGCUAGGUAUCCAUAGGAGAUGUGGCGAAUCCACAUGAAUAUGGAAGCACCCAUAGGAGAUGUGGCCAAUCCACAUGAAUAUGGGGUAGAAGCCUAGUGGGGGGCUACCCACUGAGGAAAAGAGGAAAAGAUGAAAAGAUGAAAAGGAUAUGCAUUGUAGGGUUCUAGCUCAUGGUCGGGUACAGGAAGUUAAAGAAGUCAUAGGAUCGAGUCGGACUAGUAAGAUGAGUCGGUUAAGUCUAGGGAUGGCGUGUGUGGCAAUGAGUGAGAUCAUUGUAUUGAUUGAUUACUAGGUUGUUAGAAAUGAAUGGAAGUGUGUGUAGAAAUUACAGAUGGUGAUAGGAAAUGAUAAAAUGCAUUAAGUGAUUGUAGUGGCUAGUCAGUCCUAGUUCCCGCAUAGAGUAGUCUAGAGUGUCGUGCGGGCAGGCUGGUCUAGAGCCACUUCACUGAGUAACUUGUUGCUCACCCCCUCCAUUUCCAUUUUUUCCCUGUGCGCAGGACUGUAAGUAGAAGUAUAUGGAUGUGGGUGUGACGGUAUUUCAAAGAAGGUUAUGCGCUCGUCUCUCGGGACCAGUA
rnacentral:lncRNA from 1 species